AACAGAACCUAGUCAAAGCAAAAGAUUCAUAGAGGCAAUACGAACUGGUCGCAAGUAAGACUGGGUGCUGGUGUUACACUUGCAUCAGGUUAAUAAUCCGCCCCCAAUCCGAUAAGCCGUUAAUAAAAUAAUUUUAAUCCGUUCCCCGUUCGUUAAGCCGUUAAGCCGUUACCACUAAGCCAUUAAACUUCGAUUCCGGAUCGAUUUUAGGUUUCGGAUCGGUUUUGAACACCCCUAAACAUGGUUUUAAUAAAUCACUUUACUACUUAUAUUGGAGGUUUCUGCGUCUAGGAGACUAAUUCUAUUUCAUAUUAGAAAUUACAGAAAUAAUUUGUAUGAGACUCAAUAAUGAGCAAUAGGAUACCAGAUCCAAUAUCAUCUCCCAAACAGUAGCAUUAAUUAACAGCCAAAGUUCGACGACUAAUCUAAAUAUGGUUCUCCUCCGCUUCAACAAAGAAGCAUAUUAGUCACGCACAACUAAUUCAAAAGCAACUCUUCCCUAUUAGUAUAUAUCUUGUACAAAGAUUAAAUGGAUUAAAUUCUUCAGAAAUCUGAACUUCACCAACACAUUCACUGAACAACUAACAUGUCGCAUAAAACAAUAUUAAUAGAAAGAGUGAAGCCACUGCUGAUUAAAUUCAUGAUUCAUAAUGAUGAAUUUAGAUCAAUAUUUACACAAUUUUACUCCAGAAUGAACUUGCACAAAUAAUAAAAAAUAUCCUUUAUUAUGUAGCUAAGGUCAUCUCAGUACAGGAUCAUGGAUUCUUUUUUUUUAACCAUUCGGUGAAUCUUGUUACUUGAGAAUUGACAAUUCAGAUCGUCGUCUGCUACUAUUGUUGAUGCCUUUUUAGCGGAUCUACUCCUCUUGUCAUACAUGUUCAAGGAGAUAGUUUUGCCUCACAAUCAUCACCAUCUUACUGUUGGGUUUAAGAGCGUAGCGGAAAUGUAUGUGAAUCGAGAAAAUAAAUAGAGAAUGUA
rnacentral:lncRNA from 1 species